GCGCCGCUGCCCCGCUGCGCGCCCGGAGCACGCCCCGAACCCCUUCCCUUUCCUGCGGAAGGCCUGCUGAAAUGGCGGCGGGAAAACGGCCUCACCGCGCCCCGGGCCGUGGCGGCAGAGGGGUCGGCCGGGCCGGCAGUGUCGCCCUUGCUGCUCUGGGCGGACUGGUGGUGGUGCUGGUGGGAAGGGACCUUUGUGUGACAGAGGUGUGACCAAGAGUGCCUAAGUAACGGUCCUGAACCGUGGGCGGUGGACUGAAAGCGGUUGUGUGUUUACUACAGAUCAGAGCACACCUCAAAAAAAAUGGGGUGCCUUGAGAUGCUUCGAGUGCGUGGAGUGAGACUCCAUACAGAGACACCUCAUCUCCCUGAGACGUGUCUACUCAGGCUGUGGAGCCUGCAUGCUGCUGUGCCAAGGAAAAGCCCAACUAAUGAAGAGUUUAAAAUCAGGGAAUUGUCCUGGGGGCAAUUGGAACAGCACACUCAUUCCAGCAGAGACGAAGCAGGGAACAGGAACUUAAUGGACAAACAUUGCCUUGUAUGAAAAGGAACACAAAUUGUCUGCAUCAAGUUGUAAAAAAGAAACAUUAUUUAUUUUUUACAGAGGUGUAAAAAUUGUUUCCAGCUUGUAUUCUUGGAUAGAGCUCAGGUCCUGAAGAAUGGGUGGAAUAUGAGCUCAAUAUCUCUGCUUUCUCCCUGUGGGAAACAGUGCUGUGUGAGGGAGCAGCUAUGCUGGCUGCUGUCUCACCACUGCUCCCACACACUGCAUAAACAUCACUGUUGGAAGGAGCCAUGGACCAUGGGCUGCAGAGUCUUUGGUGGUGUUACCACACUUGUUUCUCAGACUGUGUUGUAAAAAGCCAGACAUGGUCCCAAAUGACCAAGGAGGUGAUGUGGAGGUUAGGGCCAGGUUCUCGAACUGGAAAGACAUGCACAGCUCUCAAGGGAUGGCUAAGUGCUUUGGAAACAUCUCUAAACACAUUCAAUAUCUGGUCUCCAAGAUAGUUUUCUCCUGGAAUUCUUUAUGUUCACCAUAUAUCACAGUAUUGCUCAAUUCUCUGAGCCAGACUAUAUAAUUACUGACAGGCUGCAGAUGGCUGUUAAGACAAGUCUACAGGGCACAUAACAAAGAAUUAAAGUGUCUGCAGUGAAGCUGCCACAGGUAAAGUUACACGUUUGGGCUUGAUCUAACAUCUUAUUUCUACAUAAAGGAACAGUUUCUGUGCCCUUCUUCCUGCUCUCCUCCUGCCUUGGCCUUCUUCCCCUCAUGUGCACUGGCUUGUGCUUUCUGACCCUGCACCAAGUCAAUUCAAUUCACUGGAAUCAAGAAUAUUAAACUGGAAAAAAGGUGAAUUGUUUGUGAUGGCAUAUGGACUUGACUCAAAGUGUGAACAUUCUGAAGAGCACCAAAGCUAAUGGAAAGGACGGGAUGGGGCUGUGUGACUGGGUCUGGGUCUAGAGAAAGGAAGAAGAGGAAAAGGAAACAAGAUCUUUAUAGCAGUGGCAAGCUGGUUAAUCCACUUUGUGGUAAAGUGCCACUACCCCUGAAUAACAAGCAACGAAGUUCUGUUCAUGCACAGUCCACCUUCAUCAUCAAUCUGCACUUAGAUGUUGUUUUCAUUUGCCAUUAUGGUUUUGUCUUUCACAGAGUGGGUAUAAGUGGAUAAAGCUUGAGAGGUGGGCUUGUGCAAACCUCAUGAAGUUCAAUGAGGCCAAGUGCAAAGUCCUGCACAUGGGUUGAGGCAAUCCCAUUCUAUGAUUCUAUGAAAGCUGGGACUGCAAUAUGACAGAUUAGCCAGUGAGACAGCAGCAACAAGGCUUUGCUCCAAGGGAAGAUGGUCAAUAAAAUCUGCAUAUUUUAUAAGCUCAUCUCUCAGUACCCUCCAAGAGAUAACAGCAAUCUCUCUUGCCAUCUCCAUAGGACUUAGGUAGGCUUUCUUUCUCCAUUUUUGUUGGUUUGUUUGUUUAGCUGUGGUUUUUCCUAUCAUAGGUUUUGGAAACAGAUCAGCUUUUCAUCUUCCUCUCAAAAAUCUGUAGAGAAACUAUGAAGCUAGACAGCAGAUAAAUAAAUGACAAUGAAAUCUACAGCCCAUGAAUGAUUUAACAUCAUUCAGUUGGAGGAAAAGAAGGAAAGCUAAUGAUUAGCAGCAACUAGUAAUCACUCCAGUGUUUCAAAGUUUUUGCAGGUUAGCUCGGCAUUUUCUAUUUCUGUUGAAGUCAAAGACAGUAUUUCCAUUGGCUGCAGUUGGAUCAGUUUUAAUCUCUUUAAGUUUUGAACAGUCCUGACUUUCAAUCUAAAAUAAAAAAGUAUGAUAU